UACAGAGGGGGCAAGCGUUGUUCGGAAUUACUGGGCGUAAAGGGCGCGUAGGCGGCCUUCUAAGUCGAACGUGAAAUCCCCGGGCUCAACCCGGGAACUGCGUCCGAUACUGGAAGGCUUGAAUCCGGGAGAGGGAUGCGGAAUUCCAGGUGUAGCGGUGAAAUGCGUAGAUAUCUGGAGGAAUACCAGUGGCGAAGGCGGCCUUCUGGACUGACACUGACGCUGAGGCGCGAAAGCCAGGGGAGCAAACGGG
rnacentral:rRNA from 1 species